GCGCAGCAGGCGCGAAUCCUCUACAAUGUGCGAAAGCAUGAUAGGGGGACUCCAAGUGUCUCUCUAAAGAGAGACUUUUGUAGUAUGUAAAAAGUACUACGAAUAAGGGGUGGUCAAGACUAGUGCCAGCCUCCGCGGUAACACUAGCAGCCCGAGUGGUAGUCAUUUUUAUUUGGCUUAAAGCGUCCGUAGUCUGAUUAGUAAGUUCUCUGUGAAAUCCUGUUGCUUAACAAUAGGGCUUGCAGAGAAUACUACCAAUCUUGGAGCCAGGAGGGGUUAGGGGUAUUCCGGGGGUAGCGGUGAAAUGCUAUAAUCCCCGGAGGACCACCAAUGGCGAAGGCACCUAACUGGAAUGGGCUCGACGAUGAGGGACGAAAGCUAGGGGAGCAAACCGGAUUAGAUACCCGGGUAGU
rnacentral:rRNA from 1 species